rnacentral:rRNA from 1 species
UACGGAGGAUGCGAGCGUUAUCCGGAUUUAUUGGGUUUAAAGGGUGCGCAGGCGGAAUGUCAAGUCAGCGGUAAAAUUUCGGGGCUCAACCCCGGCCUGCCGUCGGAACUGGGUGCCUUGAGUGGGCGAGAAGUAUGCGGAAUGCGUGGUGUAGCGGUGAAAUGCAUAGAUAUCACACAGAACACCGAUUGCGAAGGCAUCUCACGAAUCCGCGAUUGACGCUGAUGCACGAAAGCGUGGGUAUCAAACAGG